rnacentral:rRNA from 1 species
UGACUCUCGGCAACGGAUAUCUUGGCUCUCGCAUCGAUGAAGGACGUAGCGAAAUGCGAUACUUGGUGUGAAUUGCAGAAUCCCGUGAACCAUCGAGUCUUUGAACGCAAGUUGCGCCCGAGGCUAUCUGGCCAAGGGCACGCCUGCCUGGGCAUCACGCCUCGAGACGCUUCGUGCC